rnacentral:tRNA from 1 species
GAGGGUAUAGCUCAGAGUAAAGCACAGGCUUAGCAUGCAGGAGGUCCUGGGUUCAAUCCCCAGUACCUCUA